rnacentral:rRNA from 1 species
GACGAACGCUGGCGGCGUGCUUAACACAUGCAAGUCGAACGGAAAGGCCCUGCUUUUGUGGGGUGCUCGAGUGGCGAACGGGUGAGUAACACGUGAGUAACCUGCCCUUGACUUUGGGAUAACUUCAGGAAACUGGGGCUAAUACCGGAUAGGAGCUCCUGCUGCAUGGGGGGGGUUGGAAAGUUUCGGCGGUUGGGGAUGGACUCGCGGCUUAUCAGCUUGUUGGUGGGGUAGUGGCUUACCAAGGCUUUGACGGGUAGCCGGCCUGAGAGGGUGACCGGCCACAUUGGGACUGAGCUACGGCCCAGACUCCUACGGGAGGCAGCAGUGGGGAAUAUUGCACAAUGGGCGGAAGCCUGAUACAGCAACGCCGCGUGCGGAAUGACGGCCUUCGGGUUGUAAACCGCUUUCGCCUGUGACGAAGCGAGAGUGACGGUAAUGGGUAAAGAAGCACCGGCUAACUACGUG